UACGAGUGCCUCAAGCGUUAUCCGGAAUCAUUGGGCGUAAAGGUUGUGUAGGUGGUUGUAUUAGUCUUCUGUUAAAUUCUUCGGCUUAACCGGGGGCAUGCAGGGGAAACGGUACAACUAGAGGAUGCGAGGGGUCUGUGGAAUUCAUAGUGUAGCGGUAAAAUGCGUUGAUACUAUGGAGAACACCAAAAGCGAAGGCAGCAGACUGGAGCACUCCUGACACUGAAACAAGAAAGCGUGGGUCGCGAAUGGG
rnacentral:rRNA from 1 species